rnacentral:snRNA from 1 species
GUUUCUUCACAAAAAAACAAAAAAA